ensembl:lncRNA
GUUCAGGCCUCCCAGAGCUUUCCUGCCGGGCCUAGACUCAUCUCUCCCUGUGACCCACCGGUUCUAAUUGUGCUCGCAAAUUUUACAGUCCAUUCUGCAUAUAUCCAAAGCUCGGGGGGAAAAAAAAACAGCGGUGUACACCCUUGGAACCAGCCAGCCCACUUCUGGGCAACAUUUAUCUUGGGAAAGUUCAUUGCAUACCUUGACUAUUUGUUCAAACAAUCUUUGCCAUUGUCACAGCGUUGAAUACAAAAAAAUACCCCAUCCGAGGACUUCCUGGUGGUCCAGUGGCUAAGACUCUACAUUCCCGUUGCAGGGGGCCCGGAUUUGAUCCCUGGUCAGGGAACUAGAUCCCAC